AAAGCUUUGUGUUAAAUGACGGUAGUUGUUGGUGACGUGAGCUUUAUUCAAUGCAUUUUGAAAAGAUCUAGGUGCUGAACAUAAAAGCUUCAAAUUUUAUCUUCUUCUCCAUUAAUAAAAUUUACUGAAGCUGGGGGAAAAAAAGCAUGCAUAGUGCAACUUUGCAAAGACUGGAAAGAAUUGAAAAAUUUGGCCAAAAUCAAACUUUAUAUACCAAUAUGUAUAAUUUCUCUCACCCCAGUUCUUGUGUAACUCAAAGAUAAAAAUAACUUAUGAGCAGUAAUAUUGAUAAAUUUGAACAGUAAUAUGUAUGAAAUAUGUGUAACUGAACAUUUAGCCAUAGUGAUUGCUUGAAACAGUUACUGUUCACCUCUUCAUCUGUCAUUUGAUGGUAAGAUUCGAACUCGGUAUUACAAAUCAACCAAUCUGCCAUUCAGAUGUAGUCUGUGUUCUUAUUCAACUAACUUCAAAUCAGAUUUAAAGAAGCAUUUAAUAUGUCAUACUGGCCAAAAGCCAUACAAAUGUGAUGUUUGUGGGAAAAUGUUCACUCGGCGAACAAAUUUAAAGCGACAUAGGCAGAAUGUUUAAGUCUUCAUCAAAGAAAGAAGAACCCAUCUUCAUACACAAGUUUAAAAAAGAAAUUUUUGCCUAUUAUUCCCAAUAUGUUUUAUUGCCAGUAUUGCUCAUAUGCAGCUGCAACCAAAUGGAAUUUAAAAGUGCACCUUCUCACACAUACUGGAGAACAACCUCAUGAGUGUGAAAUAUGUGGACGGAGAUUUUCUUUAAAAAUGAAUUUAAAACGUCACAGAAUAGUUCAUUUAAAAAAUGUGGCAUUCUGAUUGUUCUUUUCUCUUUCCCAUUCCCUGAUUUUAGAGUUUUGUUAGCCAGAAAUAUUAGAGAGUUUAAACAAAUUUAUGAUAUUCAAUGGAAUAAGAAAAUGAAUUUAGAAAUUUUUCAAUACUGAUUGAAGUACUAAUUUUGGUACUUUCUGAUUACCCACACCCCACUGAAAAGUUGCAGAAUUCUCUCCGACUUUGAAGAGAAAUAGUUGUUUGAGUAUCUUUAUGUCUAUUUCAACAUUGCAUCCAGUGCUGCCUAUUUUUAUACAUUCAUUAAAAAAUAGCGACUGCUUCACUAUACCUAUUCUCGGUAUAGUGCACCAGUCACGGUAGCGCAGCAGAAGGUGAAACUUCAACAUGCACUCCAAUAUAAUAAAAAUAAAAGACAAAAAAUUGCACAGUUCCAUUACUAUUUGUGGCAAAGUAAGCGAAUAUACUCAAAGCAAAAAGAAAUACAAAUCAGAAAAAUUAUCCUUGAAUUUGAAAUCCACAUGUAAGUAUGUGCAUACCUGGGUUGCCGCAUAAAUACUUUUUGAUGCCAUGGCACAUUGGUGCAUCAGUACUUUUUAGCAGCUUUUUUCGGUAAAGGUGUGGUAAUCAAAGUACCAUAAUUUUUUAGUUUCAGAGAAAGUUUUUUAUUUUAGAAGCAGACAGCUUUCCAUUUAAUGUCAAAAAACAUAAAUUUGCCAGUAUUUCUAUUAAUUAGGCCUCAUUUAAUGAGCAUAAAAAGAGCUUUAUAUAAAUACCUGGUAUUUUAGGGAAUGAAUAUUACAAGAAAUACAGAGGCUGUUCAGAUAUUUUUUUUAGACGAUUAUAGUUGGUUAUAAAAAAAAAUAGUAUACUUAGAAAUUUUUUUAACUGUAACUAUAUUUUUCAAAGUAUGAAUUAUCAUCUGCUACUA
rnacentral:lncRNA from 1 species